AUGAAUCAAAGAGUCAACCAGGAGUGGAACCCCUCUGAGGUAGAGGGGGCGAGAUCAAUCAUUGAACGUCUCAACAACUACUACAACAAUGAUGGCACCAUCCAUGAGAAGAACAAGAAGCAUGAUAUCGUGUCCAAUCUCAAAGCAUGGUUCCCUAGGAAGACCAUGCAACAGUGUCCAGAGAAGGAGUACAACGGUUCCAAUAGUGACCAUGGUGUGAUUUACACCAUGGAUGGCCUUGUGAAUAAAAACUUUGGAUGGCAAGAGGAGGUUGUCAUGGAAGGAAUGGGUAUUUUGUUUGGUCUUCCAUUAGAGAGUAUGCAAACCAUGGAGAUACAAGAAGAGGUGCAGAUGGUGGAGGAGAACAAGGUGGUGUUGGAGAAUAAGAUGUGCAUCCCUCAACCAGUGCUUGCACCACGUGCCAAGGGGUUUUGGACCCUAGAGGAACACAGGCUCUUUCUCCAUGGGUUGAGUGUAUGUGGUCGUGGAAAAUGGAAGGAUAUAUCAAAGUACUUCGUCACUAGUAGGACUCCAGCCCAGAUUUCGGGCCAUGCACAAAAGUACUUCAUGAGGCUACAGAGAAAAGGGUCAGGAAGCCAACGCUAUAGCAUCAAUGACGUGGAGCUCGAUGAUGCUGGCCCAUGGAAAAUGGAGAAUAGCUUUAAUUUCUGGAAAGCACUCGCCUUGCAAUCUACAAUUGGUGGGGAUAACAAAAAUCCAAGUUUUGAUUUGCAAACUCCUUCGAGUCCAUUUUUCACCAUGAACAAUAUAGUCUAG
rnacentral:rRNA from 1 species